rnacentral:rRNA from 1 species
UACGAAGGGGGCUAGCGUUGCUCGGAAUCACUGGGCGUAAAGGGUGCGUAGGCGGGUUCUUAAGUCAGAGGUGAAAUCCUGGAGCUCAACUCCAGAACUGCCUUUGAUACCGAGAGUCUUGAGUAUGACAGAGGUGAGUGGAACUGCGAGUGUAGAGGUGAAAUUCGUAGAUAUUCGCAAGAACACCAGUGGCGAAGGCGGCUCACUGGGUCAUUACUGACGCUGAGGCACGAAAGCGUGGGGAGCAAACAGG